UACGUAGGGUGCAAGCGUUGUCCGGAAUUAUUGGGCGUAAAGAGCUCGUAGGCGGUUUGUCGCGUCGGCUGUGAAAACUCGGGGCUUAACUCCGAGCCUGCAGUCGAUACGGGCAGACUUGAGUUCGGUAGGGGAGACUGGAAUUCCUGGUGUAGCGGUGAAAUGCGCAGAUAUCAGGAGGAACACCGGUGGCGAAGGCGGGUCUCUGGGCCGAAACUGACGCUGAGGAGCGAAAGCGUGGGGAGCGAACAGG
rnacentral:rRNA from 1 species